UGGGGAAUAUUGCACAAUGGGGGAAACCCUGAUGCAGCGACGCCGCGUGAGCGAAGAAGGCUUUCGAGUCGUAAAGCUCUGUCCUAUGAGAAGAUAAUGACGGUAUCAUAGGAGGAAGCCCUGGCUAAAUACGUGCCAGCAGCCGCGGUAAUACGUAUGGGGCGAGCGUUGUCCGGAAUUAUUGGGCGUAAAGGGUACGUAGGUGGUUUUUUAAGUCAGGUGUCAAAGCGUGGAGCUUAACUCCAUUAAGCACUUGAAACUGAAAGACUUGAGUGAAGGAGAGGAAAGUGGAAUUCCUAGUGUAGCGGUGAAAUGCGUAGAUAUUAGGAGGAAUACCGGUGGCGAAGGCGACUUUCUGGACUUUUACUGACGCUCAGGUACGAAAGCGUGGGUAGCAAACAGG
rnacentral:rRNA from 1 species